GAAUUCGCCCUUAGAGUUUGAUCCUUGCUCAGGACGAACGCUGGCGGCGCGCCUAACACAUGCAAGUCGAACGGAGCUUAGAGAGCUUGCUUUUUAAGCUUAGUGGCGAACGGGUGAGUAACGCGUGAGUAACCUGCCCUAGAGUGGGGGACAACAGUUGGAAACGACUGCUAAUACCGCAUAAGCCCACGGUACCGCAUGGUACUGAGGGAAAAGGAUUUAUUCGCUUUAGGAUGGACUCGCGUCCAAUUAGCUAGUUGGUGAGGUAACGGCCCACCAAGGCGACGAUUGGUAGCCGGACUGAGAGGUUGAACGGCCACAUUGGGACUGAGACACGGCCCAGACUCCUACGGGAGGCAGCAGUGGGGGAUAUUGCACAAUGGGGGAAACCCUGAUGCAGCGACGCCGCGUGGAGGAAGAAGGUUUUCGGAUUGUAAACUCCUGUCGUUAGGGACGAUAAUGACGGUACCUAACAAGAAAGCACCGGCUAACUACGUGCCAGCAGCCGCGGUAAAACGUAGGGUGCAAGCGUUGUCCGGAAUUACUGGGUGUAAAGGGAGCGCAGGCGGGAAGACAAGUUGGAAGUGAAAACCAUGGGCUCAACCCAUGAAUUGCUUUCAAAACCUGUUUUUCUUGAGUAGUGCAGAGGUAGAUGGAAUUCCCGGUGUAGCGGUGGAAUGCGUAGAUAUCGGGAGGAACACCAGUGGCGAAGGCGGUCUACUGGGCACCAACUGACGCUGAGGCUCGAAAGCAUGGGUAGCAAACAGGAUUAGAUACCCUGGUAGUCCAUGCCGUAAACGAUGAUUACUAGGUGUUGGGGGAUUGACCCCCUCAGUGCCGCAGUUAACACAAUAAGUAAUCCACCUGGGGAGUACGACCGCAAGGUUGAAACUCAAAGGAAUUGACGGGGGCCCGCACAAGCAGUGGAGUAUGUGGUUUAAUUCGAAGCAACGCGAAGAACCUUACCAGGUCUUGACAUCCGAUGCAUAGCACAGAGAUGUGUGAAAUCCUUCGGGACAUCGAGACAGGUGGUGCAUGGUUGUCGUCAGCUCGUGUCGUGAGAUGUUGGGUUAAGUCCCGCAACGAGCGCAACCCUUAUUGCCAGUUACUACGUUAAGAGGACUCUGGCGAGACUGCCGUUGACAAAACGGAGGAAGGUGGGGAUGACGUCAAAUCAUCAUGCCCUUUAUGACCUGGGCUACACACGUACUACAAUGGCGUUAAACAAAGAGAAGCAAGACCGCGAGGUGGAGCAAAACUCAAAAACAACGUCUCAGUUCGGAUUGCAGGCUGCAACUCGCCUGCAUGAAGUCGGAAUUGCUAGUAAUCGCGGAUCAGCAUGCCGCGGUGAAUACGUUCCCGGGCCUUGUACUCACCGCCCGUCA
rnacentral:rRNA from 1 species